UCUGUAAACAUUUUAUAGUGCAACCACUUUAAAAUCCUACUUUGGAUUCAAUGAUCUUUGAUAAAAAAACAAUAUGUACUUGGAAGAGAAAAAUUGGUAAUUAAAGCAUCAGUGAACAUUAUAUAUGAAAUUAGUAAAAGCUUAGAGUAUAAAUAAACACAUUCAGUAAGCUUCCAGGGUGAUUCCAGUACAGGUCCAAGCUUAACGAAGCUUUUGUGUUUGUUUAAGUAAUAGUUUAAGUGAACCAGAACACAGAGGAGUAGCUAAAGAUUUAUCUUGCAGAGCUAAGAGUCAGUAUAACUUUAUGUAUAACAAAUUAAUAUUGACGAAUUAAUGAUAAUUUAGAAAUUGAAGCUUUUUAAAAUAUAUUUUGUUUGUUUCAGGGGCAGACCAUAACUACAGAAGUGGUAUAUAUUUGAUCAAUCAAAUUUUCAAAAUAUACAAAUUAUUCAUAAAUUUCUCAAGUUUCAGGAAAUAUAUACACAUUGAUGAUAUUAUUUCAUACAUUUUUAUUUUUGUAUUAACUCUUUCUGUGUCGACGCCCAUUUUUACGGAUGUCUGAAAAUUGUGCAAGAAGAGACAAUGUCCAUUUAUACAGUUAAGUCGUGUUGGGCACUUAUCAUACUGCAGCCCUCUUCCAUGAGUGGGCUAAAGCAUCACGUGUGAUACUUCACCAGCACUAGGGUUAAUUUACUACUGAACAUCUACAUCUAAUGGUUAAGCCUGCAGUACCAGUGUGUAAACAAUAAAUUAUCAUACACAUA